rnacentral:rRNA from 1 species
CAGUCGCCGCGGGAAUACAGAGGGUGCGAGCGUUAAUCGGAUUUACUGGGCGUAAAGCGUGCGUAGGCGGCUUCUUAAGUCGGAUGUGAAAUCCCUGAGCUUAACUUAGGAAUUGCAUUCGAUACUGGGAAGCUAGAGUAUGGGAGAGGAUGGUAGAAUUCCAGGUGUAGCGGUGAAAUGCGUAGAGAUCUGGAGGAAUACCGAUGGCGAAGGCAGCCAUCUGGCCUAAUACUGACGCUGAGGUACGAAAGCAUGGGGAGCAAACAGGAUUAGAUACCCCUGUAGUCCAUGUCUCUUAUAC